rnacentral:rRNA from 1 species
UGCCGCUAGCCCAUUCUAACUACCACUAAACUAUCUUUACGACCCAAUCAAAACAUUUACCCUGAUUAAAGUAUAGGAGAUAGAAAUAAACUAAUGGCGCUAUAGAGAUAGUACCGUAAGGGAAAGCUGAAAGAAUAAGCUUAAGUAUAAAAAAGCAAAGAUUAACCCUUGUACCUUUUGCAUAAUGGGCCAACUAGAAAAAAUUUAGCAAAAAGAAUUGAAGUUAAAUACCCCGAAACCAAACGAGCUACCCUAGAACAAUUUUAUGAAUGAACCCGUCUAUGUAGCAAAAUAGUGGGAUGAUUCUAAGGUAGAGGUGAAAAGCCUAACGAGCUUGGUGAUAGCUGGUUGUCCAGAAAAGAAUCUUAGUUCGAUAUCAAAUUUACCUAAAGAACAAAUAAUCCUAAUGUAAAUUUGAUGGGUAGUCUAAAGAGGGACAGCUCUUUAGAACAAGGAUAAAACCUUAAUUAGAGAAUAAGGAAAAAAAAUAGUCCAUAGUUGGCUUAAAAGCAGCCAUCAAUUAAGAAAGCGUUAAAGCUCAAAACUACUUAUUAACCCUAAUUCCUCUAAAUUCACCCAUUUCCUAAACUACAACUGGACUAAUCUAUGAAUCCAUAGAUGAAAUUAUGUUGGUAUGAGUAACAAGAAUUUUUUCUCCUUAGCACAAGUGUAUGUCAGACCAGAUGCUUACUGAUAUUUAACUCAAACUAAAUAAACAAAUAAAAAUAGACCACUUCUUGACUAUCGAGUUAAUCCAACACAGGAGUGCAUAAAGGAAAGAUUAAAAGGAGUAAAAGGAACUCGGCAACCAUAAACCCCGCCUGUUUACCAAAAACAUCACCUCUAGCAUAAAAAGUAUUAGAGGCACUGCCUGCCCAGUGACUAACGUUAAACGGCCGCGGUAUCCUGACCGUGCAAAGGUAGCAUAAUCAUUUGUUCCUUAAUUAGGGACUUGUAUGAACGGCAAGACGAGGGUUUGACUGUCUCUUACUCCUAAUCAGUGAAAUUGACCUUCCAGUGAAGAGGCUGGAAUAAAACAAUAAGACGAGAAGACCCUAUGGAGCUUAAAUUAACUAGUCUACUAAAUUUAUUAACUUCCUAAAAGGACUAAAAAACAAUUUACCUAGACUAACAAUUUCGGUUGGGGUGACCUCGGAGAAUAAAAAAUCCUCCGAAUGAACUAGACUUAGACUUACAAGUCGAAGUUUACACUUCAUAAAUUGACCCAAUAAAUUUGAUCAACGGACCAAGUUACCCUAGGGAUAACAGCGCUAUCCUAUUUGAGAGUCCAUAUCGACAAUAGGGUUUACGACCUCGAUGUUGGAUCAGGACAUCCUAAUGGUGCAGAAGCUAUUAAUGGUUCGUUUGUUCAACGAUUAAAGUCCUACGUGAUCUGAGUUCAGACCGGAGCAAUCCAGGUCGGUUUCUAUCUAUUUAGCAAUUUCUCCCAGUACGAAAGGACCAGAGAAAUGGAGCCACCUAUCCAUUAGUGCUCCUAAAUUAAUAGAUGAAUUUAUCUUAAUCUAGAAUUUAUGCAAAAAACCUGCCCAAGAGCAGGGUU